UUACCGUCGUUGCCUCGGCGCCGAGCGGCGGCUACCCGGGAGCUACCCUGUAGACCACCUACCCUGUAGGUGCCUACCCUGUAGCUACCCUGUAGUUGCACUUUACGCUCCGCCGGUGGACUACCCAACUCUGUUUUUAAUGGUGUAUCUCUGAAAACAAAAACAAAAUAAGUUAAAACUUUCAACAACGGAUCUCUUGGUUCUGGCAUCAUGAAAACGCACCGAAAUGCGAUAAGUAAUGUGAAUUGCAGAAUUCAGUGAAUCAUCAAUCUUUGAACGCAUAUUGCGCCCACUAGUAUUCUGGUGGGCAUGCCUAUUCGAGCGUCAUUUCAACCCUUAACCCCUGUUGCUUAGUGUUAAGAGCCUACUACCUUACGGCGUACUCCCUAAAGGCAGUGGCGGAGUUAGGUACACUCGUACGUAGUAAUUCUUUUUUCUCGCUCCUGCUGUGUACCUAGGGCCUGCCGAACCCCUAUACUUCUAGUGG
rnacentral:misc_RNA from 1 species